UACGGAGGGGGCUAGCGUUGUUCGGAAUUACUGGGCGUAAAGCGUGUGUAGGCGGCUUUGCAAGUCGGAUGUGAAAGCCCCGGGCUCAACCCGGGAAGUGCACUCGAUACUGCAGAGCUUGAGUGUCGGAGAGGUUGGUGGAAUUCUCGGUGUAGAGGUGAAAUUCGUAGAUAUCGAGAGGAACACCGGCGGCGAAGGCGGCCAACUGGACGACUACUGACGCUGAGACACGAAAGCGUGGGGAGCAAACAGG
rnacentral:rRNA from 1 species